GCCUGUUCAUUGGAUGAUCGAAUCUCGCAUUUCGUCAUCUCGCUUUCGGUUCCCUGUGUUGCAUACCUUCGCGACGGUAUCCUGUCGGCUAGAAUCGCCCCGUUUCACCCGACGUUGCGAGUAACAUCGCGACCGAAGGCGAACCGAAAAGCAUUCAUCGCGUUCCACCCCGUUCGCGUUACGCGCUGCGGGGACCGGCCCACGAUGACGUGCUCGAAUUCUCGGAUGCGGAACACAAUGUGGGCACGAGGACGUCAAUCCUCCGUUUGCCCCCGAACAAGCGUUCUACGCUCUGUGCGAACGACGUUCUUCCUCGU
rnacentral:misc_RNA from 1 species